CGUUAGCGGCGGACGGGUGAGUAACACGUGGGUAACCUACCUAUAAGACUGGGACAACUUCGGGAAACCGGAGCUAAUACCGGAUAAGAUAUCGAACCGCAUGGUUCGAUAGUGAAAGAUGGUUUUGCUAUCACUUAUAGAUGGACCCGCGCCGUAUUAGCUAGUUGGUGAGGUAACGGCUCACCAAGGCAACGAUACGUAGCCGACCUGAGAGGGUGAUCGGCUACACUGGAACUGAGACACGGUCCAGACUCCUACGGGAGGCAGCAGUA
rnacentral:rRNA from 1 species